AUGCGGCCAUAUCACGUUGAAAAACCGCUUCUCGUACGAUCACCGAAGUUAAGCAACGUCGAGCCUGGUCAGAAACUAUACGGGUGACCGCUUGAGAAUACCAGGUGCAGU